GAUGAACGCUGGCGGCGUGCCUAAUACAUGCAAGUCGAGCGAACGGACGAGAAGCUUGCUUCUCUGAUGUUAGCGGCGGACGGGUGAGUAACACGUGGAUAACCUACCUAUAAGACUGGGAUAACUUCGGGAAACCGGAGCUAAUACCGUAUAAUAUUUUGAACCGCAUGGUUCAAAAGUGAAAGACGGUCUUGCUGUCACUUCUAGCUGGAUCCGCGCUGCAUUAGCUAGUUGGUAGGGUAACGGCUUACCAAGGCAACGAUGCAUAGCCGACCUGAGAGGGGGAUCGGCCACACUGGAACGGGGACACGGUCCAGGCUCCUACGGGAGGCAGCAGUAGGGAAUCGUCCGCAAUGGGCGAAAGCCUGACGGAGCAACGCCGCGUGAGUGAUGAAGGUCUUCGGAUCGUAAAACUCUGUUAUUAGGGAAGAACAGAUGUGUAAGUAACUGUGCACAUCUUGACGGUACCUAAUCAGAAAGCCACGGCUAACUACGUG
rnacentral:rRNA from 1 species